rnacentral:rRNA from 1 species
AGCGAGUUCCUACGGGGGCAGCAGUGGGGAAUAUUGGGCAAUGGGCGCAAGCCUGACCCAGCAACGCCGCGUGAAGGAAGAAGGCUUUCGGGUUGUAAACUUCUUUUAAGAGGGAAGAGUAGAAGACGGUACCUCUUGAAUAAGCCACGGCUAACUACGUGCC